rnacentral:lncRNA from 1 species
AAAAAAACAACCGCGCCGCGUAUAAGCGGGGCCUGGCUCCCCCACAGAAGAAACUGUCCUCACAUCAGCGCUUGCGCUGCACCCCAGGGACCCUGGUAUCCCUGGCUCGAGCCCAGCGUGCGCCUCGGCCUGCUAGGGGUACCCCAAGGCAGACAGAAGGCCCAUGAGGGAAAGGUGAGGCACCUGGGGAAAAGCGAAAAAAACAAAAACAAAAACAAAAACGUCGCAGAGAAGCAGAGCCUGGGUCCCCGAGGAAGAAAGUGUCUUCGCAUCAGCCCUUGCGCUGGGCCCCGGGGACCCUGGUGUCCCAGUUUCGAACCCAGGGUGUGCGUCUGGCCACUAGGGGUACCCCAAGUCGGACAGAAGGC